rnacentral:rRNA from 1 species
UAAGGAAUAUUGCUCAAUGGGAGAAAUCCUGAAGCAGCAACGCCGCGUGGAGGAUGAAGGGUCUAUGACUUGUAAACUCCUGUAAAGAAGAAAAAAAUUCCCAUUAGAUGGGAGAUGAUGGUACUUCUGGAGUAAGCCCCGGCUAACUACGUGCCAGCAGCCGCGGUAAUACGUAGGGGGCAAGCGUUGUCCGGAUUUACUGGGUGUAAAGGGUGCUCAGGCGGAUUUGUAAGUCAGAGGUGAAAUCUUACAGCUUAACUGUGAAACUGCCUUUGAUACUGCAAGCCUAGAGUAUGGAAGAGAGUGAUGGAAUAGCUGGUGUAGCAGUGAAAUGCGUAGAUAUCAGAUAGAACACCAAUGGCGAAGGCAGUCACUUGAUCCAUUACUGACGCUAAAGCACGAAAGCGUGGGUAGCAAACA